rnacentral:rRNA from 1 species
GCGAGUUACGAUUUGAUGCAAGGUUAAGCAGUAAAUGUGGAGCCGUAGCGAAAGCGAGUCUGAAUAGGGCGUUUAGUAUUUGGUCGUAGACCCGAAACCAGGUGAUCUACCCUUGGUCAGGUUGAAGUUCAGGUAACACUGAAUGGAGGACCGAACCGACUUACGUUGAAAAGUGAGCGGAUGAACUGAGGGUAGCGGAGAAAUUCCAAUCGAACCUGGAGAUAGCUGGUUCUCUCCGAAAUAGCUUUAGGGCUAGCCUCAAGUGAUGAUUAUUGGAGGUAGAGCACUGUUUGGACGAGGGGCCCCUCUCGGGUUACCGAAUUCAGACAAACUCCGAAUGCCAAUUAAUUUAACUUGGGAGUC